GGGGCGGCGGUGCAGGGGCCUUAUGCAACCCAAAGGUUAGGGUUUCACCGCGGGUUGGUGGGGGGAGCAGGCAGAAGGAGAGCUUGGAAACUCUAACCUUCCCCCCUCCCCAGCCUAACUGGCCGUCUUGAGCCGAGAGAAGGUCACCUCUGCACCUCCCCCCAGCCUGUCCGGUUGUGGGGCCCCUAGCCCAGGCCUGGCCCUGACCGCCUGGGAAGCCGGCUGGCUGGGUGGGGCGCCUGGGUUAGUCAUCACUGGGCUCCCUCUCUCCCCACCUCUCGGCCAACUCUUGGCCCCUCCCCGUGGCCUCUGGCUAGGCUAUUGCCCCCACCUCCCUCCGGCCCUAGUUCUAGCCUCCAACUCAUUUGGCCUGUCAUCCUGGCUGUCAGACUGAGCUAGGAGCUGUCAGGGUGCCAAAGGGUUGAUGGAGCAGCUGGUCAGAGGGUCAGUGCCCUGGGCCCACCCCUCCCUACAGCCAAGGGCACCUGCUUGGCACAGACUCUCAGCAGCAGCUGAGUCCUAUGGGCUGAACAGAGCCUGCUCAGGCAGAUAGGAGUGGGAAGGAGUUGAACUGGUCACCUGGGAGAAGGAAGAUGCCACAAAGUUCAUGCCUCCCAAGAGGGUUUUGUAAUUUGAAAACCUCCCACCCUAAUCUCUCUUUACCCUCUGGGUAUAGAUAUCUAAAGGCAAGACCGCCUUGGCCCCUCACACUGGCAUGGACCAUGCCCUUCGACAGAGUGUCAGCACAAACCCACCCUCCCAAGCUCGCAGCCUUCAAGCCUGCCACGCCCCCAGCCCCCUCCCUGGGCCAUGCUGCAGGGCCCGGCUUUUCCUGCUGAUUCAUGCGUUGGAACUGUGGGGGCGGGGCUUGGAACUUGGAACAAAGUUCAGACAUGGAGGGGCCGGCAGACAGCCUGGAAUUCAUACCAGAUGUACCCGGAAUGUGCAAGCGGAAUGCCUGGCAUUUAAGAGUCCUGGGGAAGCUGCCCAACCACCCUGCCCUACCUCCCUUUCCUCCAGCCUCUGGUCCCCUUUCCUCUCCUCAUAGUCCCAGGAACCUCUGCUGACCUUCUUCGAAACCCUAAACCUCCUCCCUUCCUUACUCUUCCCCAGAUGUAGGCCCCCCCCAAAACUCUUCUUCCUGCUGGAUUCCCUGAGACUGAGUCAGUUGCCCUGAUCCCUCCCAUUUCUGGACCUGAGGUACACCUUCUCACCUAAUACCUGGGUAACUGGUGGAGAGUGUCCAGGCUCCCAGAUCCUGCCCUCUCAGUGCUGAGGAGGCUGGAGGCUACCCUGUGGGUAGCCAAGGCAACAUGGGGUGAGAGCACAUCUAGGUUUCUACAGCCUUCAGUUCUGGAAAGAGGAGCAAGGAAUUAGGUUCAGAGCUGCCUCUUGUCCCUUGCUGGAGGCCCAGGUCAGAGCCAAGAAGCCCUUCAUUAGAAGGUUGAACAUCCACUGGAACUGGACUUUGAUGGCCAGUGAGACAGUGUCCCUGUGACAUAGCCUUGCUCACGUCUUUCCCAUUUUUCUUUCCUUUCCCUUUUAGGAACCUGUGCCUCCCACAUCCUCACCUGGCUGAGCCGCAGUAGUUCUUCAGUGGCAAGCUUUAUGUCCUGACCCAGCUAAAGCUGCCAGUUGAAGAACUGUUGCCCUCUGCCCCUGGCUUCGAGGAGGAGGAGGAAGAGGAAGACGAGGAGAAGGAGCUGCUUUCUCCCUUCUCUGGAAGCCUUGGGUACAUGGCUCUGCCAUCCUCACCCCUCAUGGAGCAGAAAUGAGGAAGAACAGCCUGGAAAGACAGAGGCAGACAGAAGACCAGUGAAAGACCAGGCCUGGAGAGCACAGGGCCCUGUCUGGACAUCCUGCAGAGGGGGCCCGUAGAGGCCAGGAGCACCCCCAGGAGGAGGGAGGACAAGCCACCCUCCAUCGAGGACAAGCUUCCAGCCGUCUACUUCGUUCUCCAUUGCUCUCCAGUCUUUCUGCCUCCACAUCAGAGAUGUGGGACCAUGUUGAAGUGUCCUUGACUUCAUUCUCCCGCUUCCACCUCUCCUCACCGUGUAACUUGUCUUUAAGCACCCUUGAGGAGCAAGAGCCAGCUGUGAAAGGACAUAUGCAGAAAAUUCAUAAAAGAAGUUCCAAUAGAUAAAACCAUGGGAAAAUGUGCUUCAUUAGUAAUUAAAGGCAGCUAUAGCUGGAAGCAUUUUUUUCUGUAGCAAACUAUAAGAGAAAAAAUAAGACCCAGUUAUUGACAAAGAAGUACUAAAAUGACACUCUCGUACAUUGCACAUGGGUAUACAAGUGGGUAGUCUUACUGAUGUCAGUUGGGUAAUGUGUGCCGAACGUCCUAAAAGUAUCAUGGCCUUUGAUCUAGUAAUUCUACAUUUGGGAAUGUAUCCUAAGAAUAUAAUUAAAGAUUAGUUAUAAGAUGUUCAUCCCAGCAAUGCAAUAGGAAAAAUUGAGAACCAACUGUCCAGCUGGGAAUUCAUUUCUUUUUCAGCUGUAAUGAAAAUGUGCAAGAAGAGGUUGCUUGAGUAAAUUAUUAUGUAUCCACCCAGAUGGUGGAACACUGCACAGCCAUUAAAAGUCAUGUAGGAGAGCAUUUGACUGGAAAGAAAAAUGCUCUCUGAAUAUUAAAAAGGUUAUAAAAUGAUAUGUAUUAUGUGAUCUCAAUUUUGCUCUUUUAAAUAUGGGCGUAUACUUACAAGACAGUUUUAAAAAGACUGCAGACAUACUCCAAAUUGUUAAUAAUAGUGGUUAUCUUUGGAUGAGGGAAUAAAGUUGUAAUUUUUCAUUUGGUUUUCUGUAGUUGCUAAAUUUUCUACAUUAAUCAUGUAUGGGUUUCAUAUAAUAAAUAAGAUUUAAAAGAAUCAGUGUAAUUUUUAAAACUUCUGGAGAGGUG
ensembl:lncRNA